rnacentral:rRNA from 1 species
ACGGCCAUACCAUGCUGAAUAUACCGGUCCUCGUUAGAUCACCGAAGUCAAGCAUCAUAGGGCACGGUCAGUACUUGGGUGGGUGACCACCUGGGAACACCGCGUGC